rnacentral:tRNA from 1 species
GGCAAGGUAGCCAAGCGGUCUAAGCGCCAGGUUCAGGACUACUUGAGUUCUACAGAUUUCUCCGGAAUCUUCCUGGUCUCAGUAAUGGGGCGUGGGUCCAAACCCCGCCCUUGUCA